rnacentral:lncRNA from 1 species
AUUUGCUGUUACAAUAAUGGAUCUCAUGGGGCUUUGGGUGGCUGAUCAGAGAAGUAUUUCACAGCUUGCCCCAUUUCCCUUCUUGCUUCAGAGGUGUUUUAUAAAAUAAAACUAAUACUUUAUAAAAUGAAAACAAUAAUUCAUAAAAUUAAGGGCCCAGAAUAUCCAAAUUGUUCUGUAGAAGACUCCCUCAGGUUACCAAGUACCAACUCAAAGCAGAGCAAAGACUGAACUCUCAUUUCCCAUAAAUCCACUGAAAUCCUGCCCUGCGCUGCAGCAGCUUUGGGAUCAUCCUGCCUGGCAGAGCAAUGGUCUUUUUCAGGAUUCUCCUUCCAUCAAAGCCCCAAUUGAUGAUGAAGAAAUUACAUUGAUUUUGGGUGUUCUUCCCUGCUUACAGCCUCCUCCCCCCUCCUCCCCAGCCCCCUUUCUACAGCCACCAUGGAGAUCUGGAGGAUUCAGACCCAGGAGAUCCUCAGGUCACAGCUCAGGAGUCUUUGAGGAAAACACAAUUCUCAGAACUGGCAGAAGACCUACAAACAAGCUGACUCAUUUCAGACAUGCCUUUAUCUCCACCUCAGCAAGCCUGGUUAAGUUCUUAGGAAACAACCCAGAAAGCAAUGCAAACCCCAAACCAGAAACCAGAGUUGCAGACAACCAUCUUUGCAAAUUUAGUUUCUAACCUGGCUUCCUUUCUUUCAGGCAUGGAGCAGCUCUUUGGGAAGCUCUGUGAACGCCUUGGUUUGUCAUGGCUGCUCCUGGGCAGUGAUGGCACAGGCAGCUUCCCUAAAAGAAAGGUCAGCCACGAGGUCACUCCCUGUGGACCAGAGCUCAGCUCUGGUUUCUUUUGCAAUGCCCCUACCCCUCAGGAGCUGACUGCAAGCUCACACAGGUGAUGUUCCUUAAAUCCUUAACUCCCAGAAGGACAGACUUGCAUCAGAACCUCCACUUUCAUCUCACCUCAGCUCACCUCAUCUCAUCUCAUCUCUUACCUGGGCCAAGACAAGCUAGGAAACAUGACCCCUUUGACAACCCAGCAAAAGCUGAAGGAAGUGCUGCCCAUCUCACCCUUCAUGGAGAACACUGGACAAGAGGAGUUGAGGCCACUACCCUGUCUGCUGUGAGCUUCCCAGCUUGUCCACCUGGGAAUUGUAAAAUUCCACGUACAGAACCUGGGCUGCCUUUCAGCGUGCUUGAGACCGGGGAGUGUGACAACCCAGUCUGCCCAGUGAUGGAAAGUUAGAAACUGGAAAUGUACCUGGAUGCCACCCUGAGUCAGCCCAAACCGAAGCAUCUCUACAAAACACCUAGAUGUGAACAAACUGCCGUCCUCUGACAAAAAUAUUCCGUCUGAGAAUUUCUGACCAGCUGCGGCGGUAAACACCUCCAGGGUGUCCUUUUUGUCUGAUACAGGGCAAAAAUUAUUCGGGUGC